rnacentral:rRNA from 1 species
CCCUUAGAUGUCCGGGGCUGCACGCGCGCUACACUGUAGAAAGCAGCGUGCUUUAAAACCUUUCCUGAAAAGGAUGGGUAACCCCAGCAAAAUUCUACGUGCUUGGGAUAGAGAUUUGCAAUUUUCUCUCUUGAACGAGGAAUUCCCAGUAAGUGCGAGUCAUCAGCUCGCGUUGAUUACGUCCCUGCCCUUUGUACACACCGCCCGUCGCACCUACCGAUUGGAUGGUCCGGUGAAGCCUCGGGAUUGUGGUUCUUGCCGCUUUGUUGUGGCGUGACCGCGAGAACUUGUCUAAACCUUAUCAUCUAGAGGAAGGUGAAGUCGUAACA